AAAUUGAAAAAAAAAUAUAUUUGCUACUAGCAAGCUCAUUCCUGAAGAAAGAAGAAACGUCGCCAUUUAUUAGGGCAGCGAAUGCUUCAAAAUUUAUUUAGAAGAGAUUUAAGAACAGAGUCUCUCUCCUGGUCAUUAAAAAUCUCUAACUUUUUUCUCUUCGAGCCUGAAGUCACAUUACCAGUAAUGGUUGUCCUCAACGUAAGACUGAAAUUGAGCCCUGAAUUACAGUGGAAGAGGCCAAAGGCCACCAAAGGAGUCAGCCACCGGGCCGCCCAGACACUGCUAAACCCAGAACAUCUGGAAAAGAUGUUCGGCGCUCUUCUGCUGCAGGAAGAGCGACGUAGAGGACCUUCCUGUGCCUCCUGACAGAACUGACGAGGCACAUGAACAGGCG